GACGAACGCUGGCGGCGCGCCUAACACAUGCAAGUCGAACGAGCGAGAGAGAGCUUGCUUUCUCGAGCGAGUGGCGAACGGGUGAGUAACGCGUGAGGAACCUGCCUCAAAGAGGGGGACAACAGUUGGAAACGACUGCUAAUACCGCAUAAGCCCACGGCUCGGCAUCGAGCAGAGGGAAAAGGAGCAAUCCGCUUUGAGAUGGCCUCGCGUCCGAUUAGCUAGUUGGUGAGGUAACGGCCCACCAAGGCGACGAUCGGUAGCCGGACUGAGAGGUUGAACGGCCACAUUGGGACUGAGACACGGCCCAGACUCCUACGGGAGGCAGCAGUGGGGAAUAUUGCACAAUGGGGGAAACCCUGAUGCAGCGACGCCGCGUGGAGGAAGAAGGUCUUCGGAUUGUAAACUCCUGUUGUUGGGGAAGAUAAUGACGGUACCCAACAAGGAAGUGACGGCUAACUACGUGCCAGCAGCCGCGGUAAAACGUAGGUCACAAGCGUUGUCCGGAAUUACUGGGUGUAAAGGGAGCGCAGGCGGGAAGACAAGUUGGAAGUGAAAUCUAUGGGCUCAACCCAUAAACUGCUUUCAAAACUGUUUUUCUUGAGUAGUGCAGAGGUAGGCGGAAUUCCCGGUGUAGCGGUGGAAUGCGUAGAUAUCGGGAGGAACACCAGUGGCGAAGGCGGCCUACUGGGCACCAACUGACGCUGAGGCUCGAAAGUGUGGGUAGCAAACAGGAUUAGAUACCCUGGUAGUCCACACCGUAAACGAGGAUUAUUAGGUGUGGGAGGAUGGACCCCUUCCAGUGCCGCAGUUAACACAAUAAGUAAUCCACCUGGGGAGUACGACCGCAAGGUUGAAACUCAAAGGAAUUGACGGGGGCCCGCACAAGCAGUGGAGUAUGUGGUUUAAUUCGACGCAACGCGAAGAACCUUACCAAGUCUUGACAUCCCUCGACGAUGCUGGAAACAGUAUUUCUCUUCGGAGCAAGGAGACAGGUGGUGCAUGGUUGUCGUCAGCUCGUGUCGUGAGAUGUUGGGUUAAGUCCCGCAACGAGCGCAACCCUUAUGGUCAGUUACUACGCAAGAGGACUCUGGCCAGACUGCCGUUGACAAAACGGAGGAAGGUGGGGAGGACGUCAAAUCAUCAUGCCCUCUAUGACUUGGGCUACACACGUACUACAAUGGCGUUAAACAAAGAGAAGCAAGACCGCGAGGUGGAGCAAAACUCAGAAACAACGUCCCAGUUCGGACUGCAGGCUGCAACUCGCCUGCACGAAGUCGGAAUUGCUAGUAAUCGUGGAUCAGCAUGCCACGGUGAAUAAGGUCCCGGGCCUUGCACA
rnacentral:rRNA from 1 species